AAGUCGUAACAAGGUUUCCUUCACCUAUUGAAGCCUUCAGCAGCGACUGUAAAGAAAUGCGUAGUUUGCUUGCAAGCAAUGCCACUCAAAUGCUGAGACAUAUGAAUCAGCAGCCUUUUAGGCUCACAGAUCAAAUUGUGGUAACCAUUCUUAUGGGCAAGAUAUGACCGGUCUUAACUAGAGUUAGUUAAGAAUCCACGUUCCGUAGGUGAACCUGCGGAAGGAUCAUUAAUGAGUUCGGGGGCCUAGCCCCCAGCGGUGAGUGUCUGUUCGA
rnacentral:misc_RNA from 1 species